rnacentral:rRNA from 1 species
AGUGAACGCUGGCGGUAGGCCUAACACAUGCAAGUCGAACGGCAGCACAGUAAGAGCUUGCUCUUACGGGUGGCGAGUGGCGGACGGGUGAGGAAUACAUCGGAAUCUACUUUUUCGUGGGGGAUAACGUAGGGAAACUUACGCUAAUACCGCAUACGACCUACGGGGGAAAGCAGGGGAUCUUCGGACCUUGCGCGAUUGAAUGAGCCGAUGUCGGAUUAGCUAGUUGGCGGGGUAAAGGCCCACCAAGGCGACGAUCCGUAGCUGGUCUGAGAGGAUGGUCAGCCACACUGGAGCUGGGACACGGUCCAGACUCCUACGGGAGGCAGCAGUGGGGAAUAUUGGACAAUGGGCGCAAGCCUGAUCCAGCCAUACCGCGUGGGUGAAGAAGGCCUUCGGGUUGUAAAGCCCUUUUGUUGGGAAAGAAAAGCAGCAGGUUAAUACCCCGCUGUUCUGACGGUACCCAAAGAAUAAGCACCGGCUAACUUCGUG